rnacentral:rRNA from 1 species
GAAACGAUAGCUAAUACCGCAUAAGAGUAGAUGUCGCAUGACAUUUGCUUAAAAGGUGCAAUUGCAUCACUACCAGAUGGACCUGCGUUGUAUUAGCUAGUUGGUGGGGUAACGGGCUCACCAAGGCGACGAUACAUAGCCGACCUGAGAGGGUGAUCGGCCACACUGGGACUGAGACACGGCCCAG